UACGUAGGGUGCGAGCGUUAAUCGGAAUUACUGGGCGUAAAGCGUGCGCAGGCGGUUAUGUAAGACAGAUGUGAAAUCCCUGGGCUCAACCUGGGAACUGCAUUUGUGACUGCAUAGCUAGAGUACGGCAGAGGGGGAUGGAAUUCCGCGUGUAGCAGUGAAAUGCGUAGAUAUGCGGAGGAACACCGAUGGCGAAGGCAAUCCCCUGGGCCUGUACUGACGCUCAUGCACGAAAGCGUGGGGAGCAAACAGG
rnacentral:rRNA from 1 species